rnacentral:rRNA from 1 species
AGAGUUUGAUCCUGGCUCAGAACGAACGUAGCGGCGCGCUUAACACAUGCAAGUCGUGCGAGAAAGGGGCAACCCCGGUAAAGCGGCGCACGGGUGAGUAACACGUAGGUAAUUUGCCUCCAGGUGGUGGAUAACCUUCCGAAAGGAGGGCUAAUACAGCAUAAGACCACGGGUUCGCAAGGGCCUGAGGUCAAAGUCGG